UGGGGAAUUUUGGACAAUGGGCGCAAGCCUGAUCCAGCCAUGCCGCGUGAGUGAAGAAGGCCUUCGGGUUGUAAAGCUCUUUCAGACGGAAAGAAAUCGCGCGCUCUAACAUAGCGCGUGGAUGACGGUACCGUAAGAAGAAGCACCGGCUAACUACGUGCCAGCAGCCGCGGUAAUACGUAGGGUGCGAGCGUUAAUCGGAAUUACUGGGCGUAAAGCGUGCGCAGGCGGUGAUGUAAGACAGAUGUGAAAUCCCCGGGCUCAACCUGGGAACUGCGUUUGUGACUGCAUCACUCGAGUACGGCAGAGGGAGGUGGAAUUCCACGUGUAGCAGUGAAAUGCGUAGAGAUGUGGAGGAACACCGAUGGCGAAGGCAGCCUCCUGGGCCAGUACUGACGCUCAUGCACGAAAGCGUGGGGAGCAAACA
rnacentral:rRNA from 1 species